rnacentral:rRNA from 1 species
UACGUAGGGGGCUAGCGUUGUCCGGAAUCAUUGGGUUUAAAGGGUCCGUAGGCGGUUUUGUAAGUCAGUGGUGAAAGCCCAUCGCUCAACGGUGGAACGGCCAUUGAUACUGCAAGACUUGAAUUAUUAGGAAGUAACUAGAAUAUGUAGUGUAGCGGUGAAAUGCUUAGAGAUUACAUGGAAUACCAAUUGCGAAGGCAGGUUACUACUAAUGGAUUGACGCUGAUGGACGAAAGCGUGGGUAGCGAACAGG